AGUGAACGCUGGCGGUAGGCCUAACACAUGCAAGUCGAACGGCAGCACAGUAAGAGCUUGCUCUUACGGGUGGCGAGUGGCGGACGGGUGAGGAAUACAUCGGAAUCUACUUUUUCGUGGGGGAUAACGUAGGGAAACUUACGCUAAUACCGCAUACGACCUACGGGUGAAAGCAGGGGAUCUUCGGACCUUGCGCGAUUGAAUGAGCCGAUGUCGGAUUAGCUAGUUGGCGGGGUAAAGGCCCACCAAGGCGACGAUCCGUAGCUGGUCUGAGAGGAUGAUCAGCCACACUGGAACUGAGACACGGUCCAGACUCCUACGGGAGGCAGCAGUGGGGAACAUUGGACAAUGGGCGCAAGCCUGAUCCAGCCAUACCGCGUGGGUGAAGAAGGCCUUCGGGUUGUAAAGCCCUUUUGUUGGGAAAGAAAAGCAGUAGGUUAAUACCCCGCUGUUCUGACGGUACCCAAAGAAUAAGCACCGGCUAACUUCGUG
rnacentral:rRNA from 1 species